GGGGAUGUGGCUCAGUGGUAAAGCACCUGCCUGGCAUGCACCAGCCCUGGGUCCCUUCCCAGCGCCACCA
rfam:Ictidomys tridecemlineatus contig059893, whole genome shotgun sequence.